ensembl:lncRNA
UCAUUUUUUUUUUUACAUAAUUUGCAUAUUAACACGUAAACAUGAUGCACUUUACACAUUCGAAAUCUCACAGACAAAGCUUUGUGCGUGUCAAUGCGACAGCUCACCUGCAGGUGAACCUGUUUAUCACAGUUACCUGUAAGGUAAGGUUAAAGCAUAACCGGACAUUUCAGCAGGCUGAAAGGGCGCGUGACGUUGACGUCAGACGGAAUGCUGGCGGCGAACGACGCAUUGUUUGGAAUAAUUGACCCGAAAUCCAACUACAAAAGCUGCAGGAAAUGUCUUCUUUUCUCUGCUGUUGUUGCUGCUGCCUAGACGAAAACUCCAGCAGUGAGAGGCAGCCUCUGUUGAACUCCAAUGUUAAAGGAGAAGAUGGAGCUGGAACAGCCAGACAGCCACGUCCAGGACAUAAUGUUGAUUAUACUAAGCAAAGCGGAAGGCUGCUGAUAAGGCGGGUGAAUGUCCCAGAGCUGGAUCAAAGGUUUGCUGACCUGGCACAGACCUUCAACGAACAUCAAGAAAGCUAUGAGACAAUGGUAGAGCGUAUCAGAAACCUGCAAAAACGAUACAACUGCACACGCUGUGACCACAUGAGCCUCGCUGAAUGUGUGGGCAAGAUCAUGCAGGAGUGGGAUACAAGAUUCAAGGUUACCCUAAGGAUGAAAGGGUACGACUUCUCUCUAAGUGUUGUCCCUGUCAGUUUGGAGAGUGAAACAGAGGAAGAACCGCUGCCUCCAGGUCUGCAGCACACUCAGAAUGAAGUCAGAGAUAUUUCUGAUGGGGCCAAGGCCACCAUCUCAAAGAGUACCACACUUCAAGAGCUUACUAGCUGGCUGCUGCGAAGCCAGAGUACAAUGAUUGAGCAAGUGCACGAAGCAGCAGAAAAUUACCAAGAGCAAGGAAGAUUGAAGGAGAACCUGGAGGAAAAUAUGAGAGAAGUGAGAAGGGCUCAGGGGUUAAUACAAGAAUACAAGCAGCGGGCUGGUGAAGUCCUUACAGAAGCUGAAAAGAUUGCUAAGGCUCAUUUGUAGGCCAUCUUUUCUUUAAUGGAGUUAAUCUGAGACGUUUGCUACACCCUAACACAACACAGUCUUUGCAAACCCUCUACACAAGUUGAGUAUUAAUUUGACCAAAAUAUAUCAACCUGCAAAAUACAAUUGUCAAUCAGUGUACAGAAUCUGCUAUCAGGGGCGCAAAAAGUGGGUAUGCAGUAUAUAGGGCGCAGGCCUACAGAGGGCGCCAAACCGAAGUUUGGAAAGUCAUUUAUAGUUUGCAUUUUUUUAAUUUCACAGUUGUUUGUGCACAUAGAUAUGAUGUGAUCAGUAACAGAAGCACAUCAUAACUGAUUGGGCGCCCCCGCCUCAGCUGCUCCUCCUUCCCUUCCCUUGAGUCUUGCACAGAGCGCCCUCCGCGUGGAGACGCGCUGUUGAUGAUUUUUGUUUGAAUCGUGUAGUCAUCUGAUGACAGUGCGCUAAAGAUGGAAAGGCAAAAGAAACAAACAAUUGAGGGCUCACAACAGAAAAUACCAGAGUUGUAGAGGGAAUGAAGAAAAGUUCUUCUAAAUGGUUGAGAGACAUCAGAUACAUUAUAGAAGUGAUUAAAACAGGCUUGUGAACAUUCAGGCUAAAGCUACCAGUAAAAAUGGUCAUAAGUGUUUUGCAACUGUACUGAGCUGGAUUUACUGUAUCAUUAAUCAUGAAGAGAAUGUGAAGGAGUUGUACUGAUUUUGUGUCAGACAGACAUAAAUAACUUCUUUAACUAUAAACUGAAAAGGUUUUUAUCGCAUGACUGUAACAGCACUAAAUAAUGAUUAAAACUGCUUCUAUUGGAAGAAGUGGGGAGAAGUAUGGGUGAUGUGGGUUAGAUGGGGCUUUUGUUUCAUUUUAUAUUGUUAAAAGCUUGGAUAGUUAUUGUUUUUGAGUGACUAUUUAGUUUACAGCCUUUUGCUUUCAAAAUCAUUACGGCAGAAUGAUACUUUGGAUUUUAGUUGAACAUUUGGAGAUGUUUAACAAUAAUAAAUAUAUGCUAUUCUAUACCACCACUAACUGAUAUCCAACAAAAAUAUAAUUUAAAAUAAAUAAAAAUCUAUUUUUACAAAUAGUUUAGUCACUUUAUUCUUUUCAAAUCUUCCUAACACAAAGUUAAUACCACACAGCUGUGAGGAUGGAGAGAAAGAAUCAGGACAGAUGGAGAAAAGAAACAGGUUGCUCUUAUGGUGGACAUUCAAGGCAAACCCAGUUCAUACCAAGUCAGUCAUUUUGAAGUAGUAUUCUUCAUUUUAGAAAACAUACAUUAGCAAGAUGUUUAAUUCAUUUAAAACAAUAAAUAAUUGUUGCUUGGCCAUAUGAUUUAGUGGAGAAGAACACAGACAGAGAGCAGUAAUGACUUCAGGUAGGAAUAAUUCAACUAUUGAAGCCACAAAAACCCAGAUGCUCCUUCUGGUUCGAAGUUCUGCUGACCACCUGUUCACUGUGGCCUUCUGCAAAUAAGUGCAGGCAUAGAUGACAAGUCAGUCACAACAAAGAAGAACGAGGAGAGAGGUUCAGAUGAUGAUGAUAACGAGACAGAGAGAUGAUCAGCUGAUGAUGAAGAGGGAGAAGAAGAGAGGUGCAGGGGAGAGGGCUGGGGCAUUCCUUCCUCAGAAGAUCCUUCUGAAUGGCCUUCACCUCACAAAACUGGGGACUCGUUGAGGCAAUAAUGGUUAAAAAUGGCUCAAAGAUUUUCUGGGCCACAUCCAAGAUCAGUUAAGAAGUAGUGAGAUUUAUACAUUUAAACAAAGAAAGUGUUGCAGGGUGUUUAGGUAGCUUUAGGAGGGGUGGAUGGGGCGUUUUAUAAUGUGCAUUUAUGUCUGUGUGUGCGUGGUGGGGGUUAUAAUGUGAUCUCAAACCCCAAUGAAGUUGGGUAGUUGGGCCCCUGUCUGCAUUAUUGUUAUAAUAGUCGUCGUAAUAAGAGUCUGGCACAGUUUAAGUCUCUACUUUUAAUACUCAAAUAUAUUUUUAAUUAGUCAUUAAAAUGUAUAGUUAAACAGAUUUGUCAAUAUAUGGAUAUGAACUCUUUAAUACUUUUUUGAAAAUAUUAUGAAAGUAUAUAUUUUAAUGCUUAAUAUAAUAAUAGAAAUGUGUUUUUUUUCAUCAGACACCCUUAUUUCGUCACGUCCUUUAUGAUGAAAAUGUACUUUAAGAAUAAAAACCUACAAUAUUUUAAAAACUCAAUAACUUUUACAUCAAUCUAAAGCUCCUUGUGUGCUCUUUUGCUGGCAAUGUUUUUUGUGUGGUCAAAAUUAAUAUUUCAUUAUUAAUUAAAAUCAUUUCUGUGUUGAGUAACACCACAAACCUGUAACGCACAUGAUCUCCUCCCUACUUAAUACAAAUGUGUGAUCUAUAAGUGCAUAUCCAUCAGGAAGUGCCAACCCAAAAGUCUUUUGGACCUCUCAACAUCAGAGGGAGUCAGGUCAGUUCCUGCCUUUAUUGGUAUUUAUUGUCAUCUAUGUUAUGAAACUGAUUUGGUCAACCCCUAUAACAUGACAACAAAAUAGAAAACUUCUACUAAAUUAAUAUUUAAAUUCUGUUCUUCAUGCAUACCAUGUGAUCUAUUCGUAGUGUCCAGGACAUGAAGCAGCAGUGUGAAAAAAUCUCACCUGUCAGACUCAACCCCGUUAUGUUUUAGUUUACGGGGUUAAAAAAAGUGUGGCGAGGUCAAGAUUUUUAUACCUUCAUUAUUUCAUUAUUGUAAAAAUGAUCAUUUAUUUGAAUCACAAUGACCGUACUUGCAUGCAUGCUAAAAACGAUUUCUGUUCCAUCGUAAAUAUUUGAAUGAUUUGAAUUGAUUGAAGAUAUGCAAGUGAAAACAAUGCACUGGGGAAGUCUGGAGUCUAUAGGUAAAUGGUGCAUUCUAAUCUAUGAUGAUGACUUGUGUCCAGGUGUCAUCGUAAACAUUCAGGUGCAGGUCAAAUGCGUGCAUCCUAUUGGGUCAAAUAGGUUCUUUUGGAUUUCUUGAACUUAUCCCACACCCACUGAAUGUGACUAAGCACCCUGUGGAAGUCCUAAGAAGAGAUGCGGAAUCAACUCACAUUUGAAUUUUAUUAUUUUGUUCCUAAAGUGUAGUUGUCUCUUUUACCACACCUCCCAUUGGACUUUUUAUGUCUACACAUACAUACACUACAGAAUAUUGCACUUGUUUGUAUACUGUUGGUUGUUUUGGCUCAUUUUAAUAAAACUCUAUUAGACUGCACUUCAAUUUGUAUCUGGUUUUCUUUUGGAUAUAAAAUGACAUACAUAAUGCUAAAGGAAAGUCUUAAAAAAGAAUUUAAUGAAUGAGUAAGCAUCUAAAUCAGUAUUUGUCCCUUCAAAUCUGUCACCAUCUUCAGCUCCGUUAUGCUGUUUUAACUCCAUAACACCAAUAUUUUCAGAUAUUAUUUAUUAAAAAUGGAAAAAAAAAAUGUUUUAACGUUUGUUGAUUUUUUUUCUAAAAACAUUGAGAACUCUCAUAUGUUUGGUGUUUUUAUAGCAAUUCUUAAAUUAAUCAUUUUUUUAAAUGAAAAUGCUUUCACUGAUUAUUUGUGAGCAUACAGUUUAAUCUGAUUUUAUUACUCUUGAAUGUGUUCUGUACGAUGGAGUGAAAGAAAAAUAAAUACAUAGAUGAGAAUAAAGAAAAGAAUGAGAGAAAAAAUUCAACAUUUUACAAGAAUAUACUCAUACAUUUAUUACCUAAAAAGUUGUAAUUUUACAAGUAAAUAUCAGAACUUUUUGAAAAAUAAUGUUGUAAUUGUAUAAAAAUUAAAAUUGUUUACUUACAGAAAAGGUAAAACAGAUUAAGUAAGAUUUUUAAGCAGUGUGAUGUUCAUCCCAUUUCUUUGAUUGUCUGCAAUAUGAAAUUAAAUUUUAUCAUUUUUUUUGUUAAAACACUGUAAAUGCUAAAUGUAACAUUUUAUUUUGAAAAAAGGGAUUUUUUUCUUGUAAAAUAACUACUUUUUGAAACAUAAAUCUACAACUUUAUUUAUAGUUUCAGGAAGGGGCAUGUAAAUAAGGCAUAAGUUAACAAAUGCCAAACAAAGAAUAAUAAAAAGAAAAAGGAAACAAAAUAAGAGAAAAAAAAAUCAUCUAACAGGGUGGUACAAGUUACAACCUCUUUGGGACUAUUAAUAUGUUUGAUAGUGUUAUAAAAUUGAUGAAAUUCAGUAAUAAAGUAUAGUUUUACUCUGCAUUCAUGUAUAUAAAAUUUGGCUUUAAAAAGUGAUAAAUUAACUAAGAAUAUUUGUAUGUUUCUCUUAUAAACACGAAUAUGAGUAAUUACUUUGAAAUUUAUGACACUAUUAAUUUUUAAUUUACUAUUUAUAAAUGGUUCCUGGUCAUUUUGGUUCAGACAAAGGCUUUGUGUCUCUAUUUACUAACAGUAGGUGGCACUACAGCCCUAUUUUCCAGACUAAUAUUUAACGUUCCUGUCAAAAUUCAUUCCUGCUCAGUGCAAACCAGUAGAUGUCAUUUAAUAUGUAUGAAACAAGCCUGUGCGUCUCUAAAUCCCCUAAGAUAAAUAAUUAAUCGCUUCAAAUGUGUCUGCUUAUCACAGUAUUUAAAUGGCAAACGUUAAGUGAGGCCUUUUGACUUGGUUAAGGAUUGUAAACGUGUAGUGUUUGACAGAUUCCAGCUCUUAUUUUGAAAUCUGAUUUGAAACCGCAACUGUUAGAAUAUAAAAUAGAAAUUUGCCGUUUCCACGAAUUAUUUUGAAAUCGCUCCACGAGGGAUUUAACAAUGGGAUUUUAU